UGCAAGUCGAGCGGACAGAAGGGAGCUUGCUCCCGGAUGUUAGCGGCGGACGGGUGAGUAACACGUGGGUAACCUGCCUGUAAGACUGGGAUAACUCCGGGAAACCGGAGCUAAUACCGGAUAGUUCCUUGAACCGCAUGGUUCAAGGAUGAAAGACGGUUUCGGCUGUCACUUACAGAUGGACCCGCGGCGCAUUAGCUAGUUGGUGGGGUAAUGGCUCACCAAGGCGACGAUGCGUAGCCGACCUGAGAGGGUGAUCGGCCACACUGGGACUGAGACACGGCCCAGACUCCUACGGGAGGCAGCAGUAGGGAAUCUUCCGCAAUGGACGAAAGUCUGACGGAGCAACGCCGCGUGAGUGAUGAAGGUUUUCGGAUCGUAAAGCUCUGUUGUUAGGGAAGAACAAGUGCGAGAGUAACUGCUCGCACCUUGACGGUACCUAACCAGAAAGCCACGGCUAACUACGUGCCAGCAGCCGCGGUAAUACGUAGGUGGCAAGCGUUGUCCGGAAUUAUUGGGCGUAAAGGGCUCGCAGGCGGUUUCUUAAGUCUGAUGUGAAAGCCCCCGGCUCAACCGGGGAGGGUCAUUGGAAACUGGGAAACUUGAGUGCAGAAGAGGAGAGUGGAAUUCCACGUGUAGCGGUGAAAUGCGUAGAGAUGUGGAGGAACACCAGUGGCGAAGGCGACUCUCUGGUCUGUAACUGACGCUGAGGAGCGAAAGCGUGGGGAGCGAACAGGAUUAGAUACCCUGGUAGUCCACGCCGUAAACGAUGAGUGCUAAGUGUUAGGGGUUUCCGCCCCUUAGUGCUGCAGCUAACGCAUUAAGCACUCCGCCUGGGGAGUACGGUCGCAAGACUGAAACUCAAAGGAAUUGACGGGGGCCCGCACAAGCGGUGGAGCAUGUGGUUUAAUUCGAAGCAACGCGAAGAACCUUACCAGGUCUUGACAUCCUCUGACAACCCUAGAGAUAGGGCUUUCCCUUCGGGGACAGAGUGACAGGUGGUGCAUGGUUGUCGUCAGCUCGUGUCGUGAGAUGUUGGGUUAGUCCCGCACGAGCGCACCCUUGAUCUAGUGCAGCAUUCAGUGGCACUCUA
rnacentral:rRNA from 1 species